AUCGGGGCUGUACCCGUGGACUCAAGGACUGAGCUCUGCCCUGCGGUGGGCACGCAGAUGGACAUAGCCUCGACGGGUGGACGUGGUUGUGGGCGCGUGACAUGCUGGAUCAUGACACGCCGACGGGGAAGUCCUUGACGGUAAGAACCUGGAGCCAUCGUCGCCGGGUGAGACAGAAGGGACACCGCCAUGCUUUGCGCGCGGCAGUUUCAAGGCGCAGAAGGCAAACGGGAUGCCCACGUGAAACCAUGCUGCAGCAGUGCCCGCAAAUGUGCCCGGGCUCGCACAGGAUUCCGACGUGGCAAGUCCCAGGUGCGGCUGGAGCCCGUCCAUUUGUGCCUGGCGCCCAAAGGAGCCAGAGACACGCAGAAUGAGGUUUCUCCUGAGCAGGAAGCGUGCCCGUGAGCAACCAGCUGAGAAGUCGACCCAUCACAUGUGAAAAUGAGAAAGUCCCGUCGAGGCCAGACCCCGCUGUCCUUGGAAAGGUGCGCAAUUGAUCCAGUUCAGACGUCGGGGGCUGUCUUGGUGUUGAGUUGAUUUCUUCCAAGGGGUGAGGGAGCGAUCCAGGUUCCCUGCCCAGCAGAUGCUCUGCCUCCCUAGUUCCGGAGGCUGGACUUUCAAGACCUGCUGAGAGCCAUCUUCCUGGUUCAUCAAUGGACGUUCUCUCCGUCAGGACAGAGACAAGACAGUUCCUUCUUACCCGUGAGAGAUACAUGUAUUGUCCAUGACUCCGCAGGAAAUUGAGUUCCCGAACCCGAUGCAGAGAUGGGGAAGGGGGGAGCCAAAAGAAGGGUUUGCUGUCCAUCUUUGGCGCCAGAGGAAAAGUCAGCCCCCAGAAGCUAAGCACUGAGAAGUCCAAUCUUCCACAUCCAGGGGUUUCCAGAUUCCCACUCGUGUAAGAAAUGCAGCGUGAUGUCCCAGUUUUCGUGUUUUUCUUGAGAUGUGGUCCCCUUGGAGGAGCUUCCCCCGCCAGGAUGGAAUUUCAGAGCUUUCGGCUCGAGAAGAAGGGAAAUGCCCCAAACAGCCACCCGCCAGGCCCCUUGUGGCCGCUGAGAAGUUGGGGAGGAUGCAGCCAUAAAGGAGGAUGUGAAAAGUAGGCGAGAUCGCAAGGCACGAAUCUUGGAAUCUUCGUGUUUCAUCAGGAAGGCAGAGGAGGAAGGAGUCUGCGAGGUGCAGCCGCCUCUUCUGACCUCAGGAUGGAUGGAGAGGGCGUGAAGGACCCGUCAGUGACCAGCUGUUGCACAGAGAGCCCAGGGGAAGGGGGUGCCCUGGCGGGCACAUGGGAACCGAUGCUGCAGCUCAUGAAAAGUUGGAGGAACAAACUGCUUUGUCCCAGGAGAAGAGGAGCAGGAUGGAACGGACGCCCGCUGUAAUCGUGGGCGGAACCGGAGGGACGGAUGCAACGCUUGGCGCUUCCGAUUCUGACAGUGGCUGACCUCACGGGAGAUGGAUGGGGGAGGGUCCAGAUGUUUCGAUGAGGAAACGGAGGCCACUAAGUGUUGUGUAACGUCCCAAGGGGACCCAGCUCUGAAGCGGUGGAGUCAGAAUGGGUUGCUUAACAGCCACCCCCACCCUCGGCUCGGAAGACGUCCACACCCAGGUAUGAAAAUGCCCUGUGGGAGUGUCUGUUGCUGCUCAGCGGGUUAAGAACCCAACAUAGCGUCCGUCCAAGAGAUGCGGGUUUGAUCCCUGGCCUCGCUCGGCGAGUUAAGGAUCUGGUGUUGCCACAGGCUGUGGUGUAGGUCACAGGUGCAGUUCGGAGCCUGUGUUGCGGUGGCUGUGGUGUAGACUGGCAGCUGCAGCACUGAUUCGACCCCUAGCUCGGGAACUUCCAUGUGCUGCGGGGGCAGCCCUGAAAAGAAAAUAAAAAAGAAAGAAAGCAAAUGCCCUGUGGAAUGACCACAUGAUAGUGACACAGUCUCGUGGCCUUUCUCUUGGGAACAGGCACACCUUCUUCCAAGCCACCUAAGUUCCUGCCUCUUGACUUUCUAGACACCCUUCACUGUUUAAAGGGGGGAGAACAAUAAGAAGACAAAGCAAAUGCUCCUUUUUUGGGUCCUUUUUAAAACAUUUAUUGACAUAGAGCUGAUAUAUCAGCUUGUGAUCAUCUCUGCGAUACAACAAACUCACGAGCUCCUGUUAUUUGUAGACUUUUUGAUGAUGGCCAUUCUGACUGGUGCAAGGUGGUCCCUCAGUGUAACUUUGAUUCGCAUUUCUCUAAUAAUAAGCGAUGGGGAGCAUCCUUUCAUAUGCUUGUUCUUUGGAGAAACGUCUGUUCAGGUCUUCUGCCCAUCUUUUGAUUGGGUUGUUUGGCUUUUUUGAUAUCAAGCUUCACGGGUUGUUUGUGCCUUUUGGAGAUUAGUCCCUUGUGUGUCACUUCAUUUGCAAAUGUUUUCAGCCAUUUCGUGAGUGGCCUUUUUGUUUCGUUUGAUUUCCUUGGCUGUGCAAAUGUGUUUAAGUUUAUGUAGGUCCCAUGUGUUUCUGUUUUUAUUUUCAUUACUCUAAGCAGUGGAUCCAAAAAGAAAUUGCUGCAGAUUAUGUCAAAGAAUGUUCUGCCUCUGUUCUCCUCCAGGAGUUUAAUCAUAUCUGGUCUUACAUUUAGGUCUUUAAUCCAUUUUGAGUUUAUUUUCCUGUAUGAUAUUAGAGAAAGCUGGGAGUUCCUGUCGGGGUUCAGUGGAACUGAAUCCGACUAGGAACCGUGAGGUUGCAGAUUCGAUCCCUGGCCUUGCUCAGUGGGUUAAGGAUCUGGUGUGGCCGUGAGCUGUGGUGUAGGUUGCAGACACGGCUUAGAUCUAGCGUUGCUGUGACUCUGGCAUAGGAGGGCAGCUAUACCUCCAAUUAGACCCAUAGCCUGGGAACCUCCAUGUGCUGCGGUGCGGUCCUAAAAAGACGGAAAGACAGAGAAUGCUAUCAUUUCAUUCUUUUGCAUGGAGCUGUCCAGUUUUCCCAGCACCACUUAUUGAAGAGCCUGUCUUUUCUCCAUUGUAUAUUCUUGCCUCCUUUGUCAUAAAUUAAUUGUCUGUAGGUGUGCGGGUUUAUCCUGUUCCAUUAAUCCACAUUUCUGGUUUGCGUCAGUGCCAUACUGUUUUGAUGACUCUAGUUUUGUGAUAUAAUCUGAUGUCAGGGAGCCUGAUCCCCCCCGGUUCUGUUUCUUUUUCAGGAUGGCUUUGGCUGUUUGGGCUCUUAUGUGUUUCCAUAUAAAUUUAAAAAUAUUUUGUUCUAGUUCUGUUAAAAAAUGUCAAGGCAAUCUACAGUCUCAAUUCAUUAGUUUCUUAGAUCCGAGGCACAGGUCCAUAAAUGCCUAACAACAGAGACAGACCAGCAAAAUGUUCAUGCAGUUUAGAUUCUGAGAACUUGACUUGUGUUUUUAUUCUAGGUUUUGAUUCAUAUUUUUUCAAAAAAUCAGAGUUUAGAAUUUGUGACAAGUUGGCAGAGUUCUGUUGUGGCUCAGUGUGUUACGAAUCUGACUAGUAUCCCUGAGGACACAGGUUCAAUCCCUGGCCUUGCUCAGUGGGUCAAGGAUCCUGCAUUGCCAUGAGCUGUGGUGUAGGUCACAGAUGCUGCCCGGAUCUGGCGUUGCUGUGGUUAGUAUAGGCUGGCAGCUACAGCUCUGAUUCAGCCUAGGAACGUCCAUGUGCUGAGGGUGCAGCCCUAGGGGAAAAAAAAAAGAAUUUGGGACAAGUUGGGAUGGGUCAUGAAGGAAAAGACCCCACAGUCUAUAUCUAGCACACAGCAGGGUUUCCAUGCAGAAGACAGCGUUGUCAGCACAGAGAUUCAGUUUAAAAAUGGAGGUUUUGAGAAACUCUCUCUCUGCUCACUCAGGAGUGUUAUCCUGAGACAGAUCCCAAAGAUGAAAAAAAA
ensembl:lncRNA